CCAAACCAAAACAACACAAGAUUUAAGGCCUUGUACUCUUGUCAAGUAGGUUUCUGGGAAGGAUGUUAAUAUUAGUUUAAAUUAUUUCAUGGAUCCUGAGACAUGUUUGUAUUUGAACAGGCAGCCUGUGGUAUCUGCUAAAAAUGUUAGUUUCCUUUCCAAGUGCUUCCACAAAUAAAGUCUAUUCUUAGUUCCAGGGUAAUAUAAAAUUAGGCUACAGGCUAGACUGGGGGAGGGACUAGUUUGCAGAUCUUUUGUCCCCUGGGAGAGAAGAGGAGAGGUAGUCACUAAAAGAGUGCUGAGGGGAGCACAUUCACUUUGUGUUUAAGAUCACUGUGAUCCAAGGGAGUGUAUUAGAAUUGAACAAAUUCAGAAGCAUUUGAUAGUUUAAGCGUGAGAGAAAGACUGAGCUGAAUCAGAAGCGAGGAGACUAGAGGUUGAGAAGAACACUUUAAAGAAACUGGUGACCUUGGGCACUGAGUCUUUGGGAGGCAGAGUAGGACAGGUGCUGGCCUGUGCUUUUCACAUUUGGAACUUGGGCGUAGGUCAUGCAAGGCAUGUUUAAUGGGCUGUUGUAUGUAUGAGUUCUACUGUAUCCUGAAAGCACACCUGAAGAGACCCAAGCAGAUCGCUGGUGGUUUCGCUGGCUUAGUUUUGUUUCCUGUUGUUGUGAUAAAAUAUCCCGACAAAGGGACCUUUACUGAGAAAGGGCUUGAUUGGUUCACAGUUCUGCAUUACAGUCCAUCAUUGCAGAGAAGGCAAGGCCAGGAUUGAAGCAGCUUGCCACAUCCAUGGUUAAGAGCAGAGAGAAAGGACGCACACGAGUUUGCAUUCGGCCCACAUGUUCCUUUGCAUAGUCCAGGACCCAAACCCAGGGAAAGAUGCUGCCCACCUUUAGGCUCACAUCAAUCAGUUAACAAAAUCAAAAGGACCUCCCACAGGCAAGCUCUCAGAUGAACCUGAUCUAGACAGUUCCUCACUAAGACUGUCUUCCCAGGUAGUUUUAGAUUGUGUCAAGUAGACAAAAUGAACUAUCACCCGUGUCAUUUGAAGAUGUGAUAGUUUGCAUAUGCUAGGCCCAGGGAGUGGCACUAGUAGGAGGUGUGGCCCUGUUAGAGUAGGUGUGCCACUGUGGGUGUGGGCUUUAAGACCUUCAUUUUAGCUGCCUGGAAGCCAGUAUUCUGCUAGCAGCCUUCAGAUGAAGAUGUAGAACUCUCCGCUCCUCCUGCACCAUGCCUGCCUGGAUGCUGCCAUGUUCUAGCCUUGAUGAUAAUGGACUGAACCUCUGAAUCUGCUCUGGCUGACUCUGCUCCACGGCUGCUGGUCUUCUUGACGGCCAUCCCAUGGCACCGGCAUCUUUGAAAUCUGGGGUCUUCUGCUGCAACUGGGCUGCACGUUUACUCACAGCCUCUCAUAGGCUCUCUUCAUGGUACCAAUCCGCAACGUUUUUAUUUGCAUGACUCCUUCAGUCCUGGCCCUUCGUGGGAGACCAAACUUUGGAAAAACAGAUUCAACAGCUCUCACCUUGAGCAUUCACUGACCUUGCAGUUUACAGCUGAACCACCCCUUUCUUCACACAAGGCUGAUCAACUGGUUCUCAUCCUGGCCAAACACCUGGGGUUGUCUGUGCGGAACCAGCAUUUCAGGAAAACUGCAGAUGCUUCGAGCCGGAGUCAACAUCUGUCCCGGAUGACCUUUCCUCUUUCUGUGCUUUUAGCAUUCCCCUCAGCCCCUCCCUACUUCCUCUUACACGGAGUGUUCAAAACCAGGCGUUUUGCUUUUCAUUAAAGAGGCUUUGACAAGA